rnacentral:rRNA from 1 species
UGGGGGAUAUUGCACAAUGGGCGAAAGCCUGAUGCAGCGACGCCGCGUGGGGGAUGAAGGCCUUCGGGUUGUAAACUUCUUUUGCUCUGAACAAGGCGCACCAUGGGGUGUGUUGAGUGUAGGGGUUGAUUAGCGCCGGCUAACUACGUGCCAGCAGCCGCGGUAAUACGUAGGGCGCGAGCGUUGUCCGGAAUUAUUGGGCGUAAAGGGCUUGUAGGUGGCUGGUUGCGUCUGUCGUGAAAGCUCAUGGCUUAACUGUGGGUUUGCGGUGGGUACGGGCUGGCUUGAGUGCAGUAGGGGAGGCUGGAAUUCCUGGUGUAGCGGUGGAAUGCGCAGAUAUCAGGAGGAAUACCGGUGGCGAAGGCGGGUCUCUGGGCUGUUACUGACACUUAGGAGCGAAAGCAUUGGGAGCGAACAGG